AUGAGCCGCUGAGUGGGGAGGAGAGAGGGACAGAGAGCCUGCUUCUUUAAAGGAGCAAAGCGAGUGUAAGCAGCUCCUGUCCGGUUGGUUCCUUUAAAGCAAGCAGGCUCUCUGUCCCUCUCUCCUCCCCACUCAGCUCGCUACA
rnacentral:miRNA from 1 species